CUCCUUCCAUCUCUCUUUCUGUAAUCUUUCAAGGUCACCAGACAUUGAUAAAGUAAUAUAAUUCAUAACUCCCUUUCCCACUUUAUCUCUUUCAAGAUUCUCUUUUUUCUCUCUCUUUUAUUUCCUCUUUCUUUCUCCAUGCGUUUUAUCUUUGAACUACAUCUCCUAAAGUUACAUCCCUAAUUUUUCAAACUAGUUUAAGCUAGCUAGUUCUGCUUUCUUUUUUUUAGGGUUUUCACAUGGUUAGCCCCUCUUGUUAUCAACAAUAAAGCCCACACAUGCAAUAUCUUUGUUCGUCGAAGACAUCUAGUGUUGAAUAGUUGAUCUUCUUGUAUUUUUGUACUUGUUUAUGGUUAAGGAUGGCUUUCUAGCUUCUCUCCUAAGACGGACAACUACAACCGAAUCUUUUACGAGUUAAUUAUCAUUCAUCAGUAGAUCAUUAUGCUGUCAAGAAGAAACUGAGAGAAGAUCAAAUUGCUAGUAAAAAAGUUCAAUAUUCUCCAAUUAUGGGUAGAAGAGGUAAACAUGAGUACCCUAAAGCUCAUCAAUCGCCAUCCUACUUAUGGAGAGACAAAUUAUUGAAUGCUAGUGCUCAUGAAGUUCCUAGUGGUCCAAACCCCAUUUCAAAUAGGUAAUUAGCCAGUAAUUAAACAACAAGUUAGAAAGGUUGAUUUCUUAUAAGCUUCUUCUUUGUCUGUACCUUUAAUUUCAAUUUAUGCAGGUUUCUAAAGGUAUGUAUACACUAUUAAAUUAGUCGUCGUUAUACAAUAUAAUCAUGAAUAUUUGUCUUAUA